UGUUAUCCUACGCUAAACCAGGUGAUUACAACACUUCUGACUUCUUGGUCUCGAAGAUCAAAACACCCAGUAAAUUAUUUCUCCAAUAAUCUAAGGAAAUUUUGAUGGUUGUCGCACUGCAAAUGGCCGCUUUUUGAUAUGAAGAUCUCAUCAAUUUCCAGCUUGUUUGUAGGAAAUCUUAUAACGCCGCGUGCAAGCUAAAGGUAAUGAAAGUGGUGUCUUUGGAAUGAAAAUGCAAUAGUUCGGGACUUCUGUAAAGCAAACAAUCCAGAUCCACUGCUGCUCGAAGAGGUUAUCUUUUUUCUUUUUACUUGGGUAAUUUAAAUUAAGGUAUGCAACUUCUUACUCAAUCCCAUCCAGUGGCAACAUAUGCAGCUAUACAAUAAAUUCAUCCAUCUUGUCUGGUUCCUCAUUUUUAUAUGAAAAUGAGACUGGGGUUGCGAGAUUUGAAAAAGUCAGAAUGCGGUUCAUUCAAUUGGUGCCAAAUCCAUUUUAUGGGUACAAAAUACAGCACAAAAUGUUAUGUGGGCAUUGGAUGUUUAAACCCGAAUUACCUUGUCUAGAAGUAGUUGAGAUAAUCAGAUGUCCAUGUUGUAUUGUGGAUUUAGAGAUAGCGGUAUUUAAUUUAUUACUUUAACAAGGAUUUGUACCAAUAUGGAAGUGACUAAAUAUAAUUGAACUUUUGAUGCA